UUCCGGUUGAUCCUGCCGGACCCCACUGCUAUCGAGGUGGGACUAAGCCAUGCUAGUUGAGCGCACAGAACUAUGUCUGUGAGCGGCACACUGCUCAGUAACACGUAGCUAACCUACCCUUAGGACGUGGACAACCCCGAGAAAUUGGGGCUAAUCCGCGAUAGAUGUAUUGUCCUGGAAUGGUAUUACGUCUAAAGGUAUCCCAUACAUGUUUGGUAUACGCCUAAGGAUGGGGCUGCGGCCGAUCAGGCAGUUGGUGAGGUAAUGGCUCACCAAACCGUUGACCGGUACGGGCCAUGAGAGUGGUAGCCCGGAGAUGGACACUGAGACAAGGGUCCAGGCCCUACGGGGCGCAGCAGGCGCGAAACCUCCUCAAUGCACUUACGUGCGAAGGGCUACCUCGAGUGCCACCUGAUGAAGGUGGCUUUCCUAGGUCUAAAAAGCCUUGGGAAUAAGAGGGGGGCAAGACUGGUGUCAGCCGCCGCGGUAACACCAGCCCCUCGAGUGGUGGGGAUGAUUAUUGGGCCUAAAGCGUCCGUAGCCUGCCGUAUAAGUUUCCCGUUAAAUCCAGCGUCUCAAGCGUUGGACUGCGGGAAAUACUGUACGGCUAGAGAGUGGGAGAGGUCAGCGGUAUUCUGGGGGUAGGGGCGAAAUCCAUUGAUCCCCGGAGGACCACCAGUGGCGAAGGCUGCUGUCUAGAACACGUCUGACGGUCAGGGAUGAAAGCUGGGGGAGCAAACCGGAUUAGAUACCCGGGUAGUCCCAGCUGUAAACUAUGCAAACUCAGUGAUGCAUUGGCUUGUGGCCAAUGCAGUGUUGCAGGGAAGCCGUUAAGUUUGCCGCCUGGGAAGUACGGUCGCAAGGCUAAAACUUAAAGGAAUUGGCGGGGGAGCACCACAAGGGGUGAAGCCUGCGGUUCAAUUGGAUUCAACGCCGGA
rnacentral:rRNA from 1 species